UACAGAGGGUGCAAGCGUUGUUCGGAAUUAUUGGGCGUAAAGCGUGCGCAGGCGGUUGUGCAAGACCGAUGUGAAAUCCCCGGGCUCAACCUGGGAAUGGCAUUGGUGACUGCACGGCUAGAGUGUGUCAGAGGGGGGUAGAAUUCCACGUGUAGCAGUGAAAUGCGUAGAGAUGUGGAGGAAUACCGAUGGCGAAGGCAGCCCCCUGGGAUAACACUGACGCUCAUGCACGAAAGCGUGGGGAGCAAACAGG
rnacentral:rRNA from 1 species